AUAUGGUCAGAUUGGAGUGGGUGCUUCUGUGGAAUUCACCAGUUUAGAACACGCGAAUGUACAAAUCCAUCACCUCGUUAUGGAGGACAAUUGUGUCAGGGAUAUUCAUCAGAACAACGAAAUUGCAGCAUACUAUGUUAUUCAAGUUUCGGAAACGGCAGUUGCAUAAGGACAUACGUCUUUAAACAAUCAUGUUAUACACACGUGCUAUAACUAGUUUAGUUAGAAAUAAUUUAUAAAGUGAACAGUACGCAAUUUAUAGAUAUGAUAUUUGCAGAGGCUAACUGCCCAGGGUGGAUGUCAUAUAUCUAGGAUUAUUAAAUUAUUGUACGAACUUAAAUCAACGGUCAAGUAGAUGCCAGUUACCAAUGAGUACACGAUGAUAAAUAAUCAACUAGAUGUACAGAAAAUUUAACUGAAUAAGAUUAUAGUAGACGUGUUAACCUUGGUUUUAGUUCGUAAUCCCGAUUUGUUUUCUCUGAAUGGAUUGAUGACUUUUGAACAGCGGUAUGCUGCUGUUGCCUUCAUAUAUGUACUAUAUUAAUAUUUAUUUAACAACAUAAACAUAUAUAUCCAACAAGUGACUUGAUAUAUAACAUGGGAACGAGUAUCUGUUAUUCCUUCACAUUUUUUUUCACUUAUUGAAGAUUUGAUUUUAAAAGCACGAAUAUUCUAAAAAAAGUGCUAUUUUUUAAUUUGCAAAACGUAUAUUAAGCUUUGUAAAUCGAGUCGGUUUUAUCUAAAAUAUAAGAUAUAUGAAGAUACCUACACAUGUUGAUGAAUAUCACAUACAGCUCUUUGAUUGUACCGACGAUAAACAUACAAAAGUCUAAGGUUGACAAACAAUAACAUUAAUAAUAUUCUUGUAUGAUAAAGUGUUUGGAGAUCAAUUAUGGGAUCAUACUUGAAUAGUG